rnacentral:rRNA from 1 species
AACGAACGCUGGCGGCAGGCUUAACACAUGCAAGUCGAGCGCCCCGCAAGGGGAGCGGCAGACGGGUGAGUAACGCGUGGGAAUCUACCCAUCCCUACGGAAUAGCUCCGGGAAACUGGAAUUAAUACCGUAUACGCCCUACGGGGGAAAGAUUUAUCGGGGAUGGAUGAGCCCGCGUUGGAUUAGCUAGUUGGUGGGGUAAAGGCCUACCAAGGCGACGAUCCAUAGCUGGUCUGGGAGGAUGAUCAGCCACAUUGGGACUGAGACACGGCCCAAACUCCUACGGGAGGCAGCGGUGGGGAAUAUUGGACAAUGGGGGCAACCCUGAUCCAGCCAUGCCGCGUGAGUGAUGAAGGCCUUAGGGUUGUAAAGCUCUUUCACCAGGGAAGAAAAUGACGGUACCUGACUAAGAAGCCCCGGCUAACUACGUGCCAGCCGCCGCCGUAAAAC